rnacentral:rRNA from 1 species
GAUGAACGCUGGCGGCGUGCCUAAUACAUGCAAGUCGAGCGAACAGACGAGAGUGCUUGCACUCUCUGACGUUAGCGGCGGACGGGUGAGUAACACGUGGGUAACCUACCUAUAAGACUGGGAUAACUUCGGGAAACCGGAGCUAAUACCGGAUAAUAUUUAGCUUCGCAUGAAGCAAUAGUGAAAGACGGUUCUGCUGUCACUUAUAGAUGGACCCGCGGUGUAUUAGCUAGUUGGUGAGGUAACGGCUCACCAAGGCAACGAUACAUAGCCGACCUGAGAGGGUGAUCGACCACACUGGGACUGAGACACGGCCCAGACUCCUACGGGAGGCAGCAGUAGGGAAUCUUCCGCAAUGGACGAAAGUCUGACGGAGCAAUGCCGCGUGAGUGAAGAAGGUUUUCGGAUCGUAAAACUCUGUUGUAAGGGAAGAACAAGUACGUUAGUAACUGAACGUACCUUGACGGUACCUUACCAGAAAGCCACGGCUAACUACGUG